GGCUCGAGCGUCACAAGUGCCAAGCUAAGGAACCAGCUGUAAUAAACACGGCUCAAGUUGAUACGCCAGCGAUGCUCUCCGAGCGAGAGAUAAGAGGCAAGAAACGGAAUUACACAAGAGCGUUGCGCCGCGAGUUUUACGCAAAUGCGCACGUCGAAUUAUUCUCUGGCAAAUAAAACUUGUAAUUAGAAAUCCUAACGUCAGUCAACGCCGUCACAGUAUUUGCAUGAAAAGUUUAAGCCUGAAUCUAACUACGACGGUUUGUGCAGUGUAACUACGUUGUGUGACUACGCUGUACAGUUUCAAGGCGACAAAUUCGAAUUGUAUACAACGGCAGUGUAUAACGGUAUAAUCAUCGUGCUUUCGGUCUUAUAAUUAGCUUGGAGAUGCUGCCUACGCUGGGUGAAUAUUUAGCAAGUUUGCGAAACCUCUAAGCCACAUCUAAGGAGGCCUGCGUCGGGGCUCUGAGUAGGUAUCCGAUUGGCGAGAACGCUGUCGACGUCUACGUAUGAAUACCGGAGUGACGAAUCCUGCGGACCUCGAAUUGAACCCAAUUCCACUAAAAGCCAAAGCCAAACUGACCACCGGGCUCAAUUCACAAAGGAAAUAAAUAUUCAGAUAAGGUCGUCUACUCGGCAGAAUCCCGAAGGUCCCACAGAGGAUACGUCGGGCGACUAUCGACGGACGUCGUCCGUUCAGAGAGAGAAUAUACUGUACACUGUCAUGUUUUUAUCUUAGCGACAGACUCUCGAGCAGUCUCAGCUCGCUAUUCCGUAACCGGAUCACACAAAGCCCCCUGUCUACGACGCGCUAAAGAUCCAAACAAUUUGGCUGACACAGGCUGAAUACGUAACGUACAGCUUACACAUUUUCCAGAGAUUGACACACGACUUUUAAUCCAGGUGUAUUCGCACUUUCAGCUUCCAAAUGCCGACUGCGGACGGAACGAUCCGUGCCAAAUUGAAAAGCGAUCCAAACGAUGAUCGAACGCUCAACUUGGAAGCAUCGCUACCACGAAAACAAAAAUUUACUUGAACGUUUGGCGGUGUGCUGAGUAUGUAAAGAACCGCAUCUGAGAUGUCCUUGGCCUGCAAUGUCGGAGCAUCGGGACUUCCUGUGUUUUCCACGCAAUAUUCUGCAGCCUCCAUGAUCUCGGUCUUCACCAGUCCAGGACUAAGACUCUGAAAAGCAUCUCAGCUCUGAUUAAAACGCUUAAAAAUACAAGAGUGAUACGCGGUACUGUGAAAGAGAUAACAUGUCCGGACAUUCCGCUUUUCACUCGGCUUUUCUACUCACCGUCACUUUGAUGUUCGUUUUAGCGGAAAUUAGCUCCCGGCGAACAACCUCCGUCAUGGCGGUCAAUGCGUACUUGCUACUUGGAUAAAGGCUCAGAUGAUUCGGUAGAUUCGGAAUAGCAUGUCCGGUUACGCUGGAGUCGGAAUUGUUUGCAAAUGUAAGAUAAUUUCGUGAAACUGGGAGAGGAAUUUUACGUAUACUGAUCUGGCUUCGCGGGCAUCUGAUAAUGAUAAUAGCGAAGCGUCCGUUUACCUGUUGAUGUUUAUUAUAUGACCAUCGACUCGGCGAGCUCGCAUAUUCGCGACUGCCUCUCGUGUGCAUAUGGCCACUGCCAAGACAUUGACAUCCAGUACACGCCGAAAGCCUUCCGUGUCCCCGCCUAAACGAGAAGACCUUGAAAAUAUAUUCACGCCAAUCGAGGAAAUUUGGUAUUCCUAUAACAUGCAGCAAGUAUAUGCGAAUGCCUAUGAGACCAUUCGAAAAUGGUUAGUG